rnacentral:rRNA from 1 species
UGAGCAAUCUGCUCUUCUCAUCGGGAUAAGCGUUGGAAACGACGUCUAAUGCCGAAUACGACCUCCUUUCNCAUGAUCGGAGGUGGAAAGCUCCGGCGGAGAAGGAUGAGCUCGCGGCCUAUCAGCUAGUUGGUGUGGGUAAUGGCCCACCAAGGCGACGACGGGUAGCCCGGCCUGAGAGGGUGACCCGGCCACACGUGGGACUGAGACACGGCCCAGACCUCCGUAGGGAGG